UAUAAUGUACUGGUAGACUAUGGCUCCGAAGCUUCUCGUAGGUCAAUAAAGGCUCUCGAUACCCUAUUCCUACUAAAAAGAUUCGCAUGUCACACAAACCAAUCAUAUCUCUUCAAAUAUCUGAGUUUGGUUGUAAGGGGUAGCCAAACCACUGGCGAAGAUGGAUGUUAUAGUUACAUUGAGAAGU
rnacentral:ribozyme from 1 species